GACGAACGCUGGCGGCGUGCUUAACACAUGCAAGUCGAACGGAAAGGCCUUUUCGGCGGUACUCGAGUGGCGAACGGGUGCGUAACACGUGGGUGAUCUGCCCUGCACUCUGGGAUAAGCCUGGGAAACUGGGUCUAAUACCGGAUAGGACCGCACUUUAGUGUGUGUGGUGGAAAGUUUUUUCGGUGUAGGAUGAGCCCGCGGCCUAUCAGCUUGUUGGUGGGGUAAUGGCCUACCAAGGCGGCGACGGGUAGCCGGACUGAGAGGUUGGUCGGCCACAUUGGGACUGAGAUACGGCCCAGACUCCUACGGGAGGCAGCAGUGGGGAAGAUUGCACAAUGGGCGCAAGCCUGAUGCAGCGACGCCGCGGGGGGGAUGACGGCCCUCGGGUUGUAAACUCCUUUCGCCAGGGACGAAGCGUUUUGUGACGGUACCUGGAGAAGAAGCACCGGCUAACUACGUG
rnacentral:rRNA from 1 species